UACGUAGGGGGCAAGCGUUGUCCGGAUUCAUUGGGCGUAAAGCGCGGGCAGGCGGCCCGCUCAGUCGGCCGUGAAAGCGCCGGGCUCAACUCGGCGAGGUCGGGCGAUACUGGCGGGCUCGAGGCUGGUAGAGGGCGGUGGAAUUCCGGGUGUAGUGGUGGAAUGCGUAGAGCUCCGGAGGAACACCAGUGGCGAAGGAGGCC
rnacentral:rRNA from 1 species